GUAAUGAGAAUAUAAAACUUUUCAAUCUAAUCGUAUUACUUUCAUAAUUAUUGAUGUCUCAUUUCAAUGCCAUAAAUUUGAAAUGAACGUCAAAAUUAUAUGCCAACUGAUAUACACAAGGCUUAUUAUAUUAGUGUUCAUCUGUCAUGAAGUUCGUAAUUUUUCAGGAUGUCCACAGAUUAGAAUUAAGAAAGGAUUUUAUGAUCAAAACGAUGGUAAAUAUAAAUGCAAUUCUCUUAAUAGUUAUCUGUUUGGAAAUGAAACAUUAACAUGCCGUGAGGAUGGAAGUUGGGAAGGAGAAAUACCUUUUUGUGUAAGUCCAAUUCCUGUACAGAUAUUGAAGAAUGGAAUUGCUGUAACAGCUGAGAUGUUUAAAAGAUAUUGCAUAAGUUUGGAUAAUCAUGAAUUGUGGGAGAUAAAAGUAUUUAAUAAAACUUUUUCUGUUAUUAAAUUAGUGACUAAAGACUACCGACAGAAUAAACGAGAAUGUAUUGGUCCUCUUGAAGUUUUAACUAAAAAUAACAAGACGUGUAGAGAGAGUGUAUAUGACUGUAAAAAUAAUCUUACAGAGUCUAUAUAUAUAUUUAACAAUAGUAUGAAAGGCGAUAUUAAAUUUAUUCAGCGACAUCCACAGGACGAUUUUUCUUCUAUUCAAGUAUGUGGAAUCUACAUUUAUUCGAAAUCAAACGAAGAAUGUAACGUUUCACUAAUAAACGUACCAAAUGGUUAUUUUUCUCCGAAAAAUGCUAAAAUUUUAACGUACGGAAAACAUAUAACUUUUUAUUGUGACGAGGGUUUCCAUCUUCACGGAAUAAAGCAUUUUUAUUGUGGAGUGGUGAAGAGAAAUAUACCUCGUUGUAAGCAGAAGAAAUUUCCAGUUCAUUUAGGUAUGUUACGUAAAAGAACACGAGUCAGAUUUUUAGUAAUAUUUUUUAUUUGUAUACUUAUUUUUGGAAAUUUGAAGAUAAAUCCGUAUAAAAUCAGUUUCAAUUAUUCGUUUUCGCAUCUCAGGAAUGACACAACGAGAUGCUUUCUUCCAUUUUAGGUUAUCGAAACAAUCUAAAGUGAAAAAGUUCCAUUUAGCAUUACUCUUCUUUAAAAGUUAGAUCCCAACUACCUCAUUCAGAGCUGCAUUUCUAAUCAGCUGUUGACCAUGCCCAUAGGAUUAAAAAAAGUCAAGGGAACCGACGGACUACGUAUGACCCUUUGCAAGAUAAUCGGCCUAUAUGGAAUUUUGAAGACAGUCAAAAAUCAAAGUUUGGAGACGGUUCACUAGAGAUCAGAUUCCUAUGAGUUUUUUGUCUCCUGGGAACCUAAAAUUUGGAAUCCAAACCCCUCACUCAGAACUACAAUUUUACUAAAAGAUAACUUUUAAAACGGGCAAAGAGAACAACAUAUUAUAUUCUUUAAAUUUCUGGAAUUCACUUCAGUUUUCUUAUGAACUGUUCCUGAAAUAAGGGAAUGUGGAGUACGUGAUUUUUAGAUUUUGCAUUAAUGCACCCACAAUUAUCAGUAUUUUAAAACUAACUAUACAAAGGUCCACCAGUGGCCAAGCGGUUCCGUUCCCUGAACACUGGGAGUUCGGUCAUGGUUUCGCGCUUCGCCAGGACGGGCUGGUCACGUGGAAUUUUUCGGGUUUUUUUUACGUCUGUAACGCCUGAAUUGGGACCAGUUAUCUUUAGAAAGGCCUCUCAGAAAGCAUCCCCUAGGCAGAUCGACCAAGUGCUGCGUUGCCAUAGAUUAACAAAAACUAACUAACUACACAAAACAGUACUAAACACAUUUACUUUUUUAUGGGUGUUAUAUUUAUAUAAUUAGAAUAUAAGACCAACACAAAAAAACAGUGUUUAUCAUAACCCUUGCUCACAAGCGUACUCUUGCUUGUGAGCAAGAAAAUGUAAAUAUGAAAAUGUUAAUAUGAAAAUGUAAGAUAUAUUCGCAGAAUCACAAGCGUACUCUUGCUCCAGAAGAGUACAUUUUCAUAUUAACAACGAUCACAAACAUUCUCCUGAUCUUUCAGAAUUCGUUUGUGAUCGUAGUGUUUCACGCGCACCAUUCUUUACACUUUAUCCAUUCUUCUGGAGGAGAUUCUACAUAUUAUUCAUUGCAGAUGUAACUUUGUUAACAGUUUUUUUUAGAUUACUUUUGAUAAUUUGCUGGAAACUGUGCUGAUUCCAGUUUCAUUCAUGUUUUUAUAUUUUUGUGGGACCAAAUUUUGUUAUCGUAUAGUUCUUGCAGCAUAUUGUAAAAUUUUGCUACUUGCAGGCGAUUGAAACCCAUUGCUCGAGCAACACUUGUAGCUUUUAGGUUGUGAAGGGAUAAAUAUGGUCCAUUAAAUUUCUCUGCAUUUUAAAGGAAAUAAUAAGCCAGUCUCUUCCAGCUAACUGAAGCUCAUGAUUGAAUGAAUGCAUCAAUUUAUUCUUUUCUGCCAGCUGGCAAACUAGUGACUCUUUCAUUGUAAGGCCAUAGAUCAUUUUGUCUAUUGUGUGCAGUAUUGUGUGCAGUAUCUGUUGAUCUUGGUUAAAAAUUUGCUUAAAUCUCCAGAGAUGUUGGAAUGCAAUUAGAAUUCUGUAAUUAAUAACAGUAGGCAAAUGAGCCAAAUAUAUUUCCUUGUAAGGCAUAUUUCCAUUUAAAUUGAAUUUGCUGAUCUUAGUUAAAUGAGAUAGUUAGGUUCAAGUAACCAAGCUAGUUAAACCAAUUCCUUUAUUAAUAUUACUAAACAGUAAGUACCCUGUACGAAUCCAUACUUCUGCUCUACAGCAGAGUUUCUCAACGGGAGCGACAUCGCCUCCAUGUGGGCGUUUUUCCAUGUUGAGGGGACGAUUAGUAACAAUUUAUAUUUUGGGGAGCGAAAAACAAUUUUCUGGACGAUAUAGUAAAUCAUUAUGUUAAGAAUAAUUAGAUAUUUUAUUCGUUAUAUCGUACAAUAAUUAAACAAAUAACAUUAUACUAGUCACCAGUCUAUUCAAUGCAGUACGAAUUUGGCCCUCGACAUCGGAAUUUUGAAGGGGACGACACUACGUAACGGUUUUAAAGAAGGGGGCGAUACUACGUUGAGGGGGGGCGAAGAUUCGUUAGAGGUUGAGAAACACUGCUCUACAGAGUACUUUUCAAGUUACACUGGAUAAGUUAAUGGCAUCGUGUUUGCAGCGGUAAACGAGUGGCAUUAAUAACAAUCGAAAAAAAGGACAUACCUUAAGCAAUUGUUCUAUUUACACACAUAUUUAAAGUAGAAUCCUGAAUUCUAAACACAGGAAAAUAAGAUCAGGGCAUAGAAAAAAACACUUACCUCAAAAAACUAACAAGACAAUCUCUGCGAUAGUAAAUCGCACUCAGUAGGCUAGAUGUCCACCAUCAACUUUAUGAAGUGAAACGUUUAAUGUUGCCAAGUAAAAGAAGGCAAAAAAAAUUCAGUUCGUACUCUUGCUCGACAUUCCCUUACGUGUAAAUUACAGAAUAUCCAAAAUUACUUUGAGAUUUAAUUUUAAGAUUAUUAUUCAAAUUUUAUGAUUUUAUUAAUAAAAAUAUCAGUUUAAUUUUUUAAUAAUAUAUUUUACGUAUUUUUAGUUGUUACAAUUGUAUUUGUUAUCGCAACUAUUAUUAUUAUAUCGAUGGCUGGAUACUACUGCAUAUUUAUAAAAAGCAGGUAAUCUCCGAAACUACUCAUCCGAUUUCAAAAAUUCUUUCCCCAAUAUUUAAAAU
rnacentral:misc_RNA from 1 species